GAUGAACGCUGGCGGCGUGCCUAAUACAUGCAAGUCGAGCGAACGGACGAGAAGCUUGCUUCUCUGAUGUUAGCGGCGGACGGGUGAGUAACACGUGGAUAACCUACCUAUAAGACUGGGAUAACUUCGGGAAACCGGAGCUAAUACCGGAUAAUAUUUUGAACCGCAUGGUUCAAAAGUGAAAGACGGUCUUGCUGUCACCUAUAGAUGGAUCCGCGCUGCAUUAGCUAGUUGGUAAGGUAACGGCUUACCAAGGCAACGAUGCCUAGCCGGCCAGAGAGGGUGAUCUGCCAGACUGGAACUGAAACACGGUCCGCAGUCGUACGGGAGGCAGCAGUAGGGACUCUUCCGCAAUGGGCGAAAGCCUGACGGAGCAGCGCGGCGUGAGUGAUGAAGGUCUUCGGAUCGUAAAACUCUGUUAUUAGGGAAGAACAUAUGUGUAAGUGACUGUGCACAUCUUGACGGUACCUAAGCAGAAAGCCACGGCUAACUACGUG
rnacentral:rRNA from 1 species